rnacentral:rRNA from 1 species
CGAUUAGAGUUUGAUCCUGGCUCAGAUUGAACGCUGGCGGCAGGCCUAACACAUGCAAGUCGAGCGGUAACACAGGGAGCUUGCUCCUGGGUGACGAGCGGCGGACGGGUGAGUAAUGUCUGGGAAACUGCCUGAUGGAGGGGGAUAACUACUGGAAACGGUAGCUAAUACCGCAUAACGUCGCAAGACCAAAGAGGGGGACCUUCGGGCCUCUUGCCAUCAGAUGUGCCUAGAUGGGAUUAGCUAGUAGGUGGGGUAACGGCUCACCUAGGCGACGAUCCCUAGCUGGUCUGAGAGGAUGACCAGCCCACUGGAACUGAGACACGGUCCAGACUCCUACGGGAGGCACAGUGGGGGAAUAUUGCACAAUGGGCGCAGCCUGAUGCACCAUGCCCGUGUA